rnacentral:rRNA from 1 species
UUCGAAGCAACGCGAAGAACCUUACCAGGCCUUGACAUGCAGAGAACUUUCCAGAGAUGGAUUGGUGCCUUCGGGAACUCUGACACAGGUGCUGCAUGGCUGUCGUCAGCUCGUGUCGUGAGAUGUUGGGUUAAGUCCCGUAACGAGCGCAACCCUUGUCCUUAGUUACCAGCACGUUAUGGUGGGCACUCUAAGGAGACUGCCGGUGACAAACCGGAGGAAGGUGGGGAUGACGUCGAGUCAUCAUGGCCCUUACGGCCUGGGCUACACACGUGCUACAAUGGUCGGUACAAAGGGUUGCCAAGCCGCGAGGUGGAGCUAAUCCCAUAAAACCGAUCGUAGUCCGGAUCGCAGUCUGCAACUCGACUGCGUGAAGUCGGAAUCGCUAGUAAUCGUGAAUCAGAAUGUCACGGUGAAUACGUUCCCGGGCCUU